GACGAACGCUGGCGGCGUGCUUAACACAUGCAAGUCGAACGGUAAGGCCCUUCGGGGUACACGAGUGGCGAACGGGUGAGUAACACGUGGGUGAUCUGCCCUGCACUUCGGGAUAAGCCUGGGAAACUGGGUCUAAUACCGGAUAGGACUCCUGGCUUCAUGGUUGGGGGUGGAAAGCUUUUGUGGUGUGGGAUGGGCCCGCGGCCUAUCAGCUUGUUGGUGGGGUAAUGGCCUACCAAGGCGACGACGGGUAGACGGCCUGAGAGGGUGACCGGUCACACUGGGACUGAGAUACGGCCCAGACUCCUACGGGAGGCAGCAGUGGGGAAUAUUGCACAAUGGGCGCAAGCCUGAUGCAGCGACGCCGCGUGAGGGAUGACGGCCUUCGGGUUGUAAACCUCUUUCAGCUAUGACGAAGCGCAAGUGACGGUAGUAGCAGAAGAAGGACCGGCCAACUACGUGCCAGCCGCCGCAGUAA
rnacentral:rRNA from 1 species